rnacentral:rRNA from 1 species
UACGGAGGGGGUUAGCGUUGUUCGGAAUUACUGGGCGUAAAGCGUGCGCAGGCGGCUCAUCAAGUCAGAGGUGAAAGCCCAGGGCUCAACCCUGGAACUGCCUUUGAAACUGUUGGGCUUGAGUACGGGAGAGGUGAGUGGAAUUCCGAGUGUAGAGGUGAAAUUCGUAGAUAUUCGGAAGAACACCAGUGGCGAAGGCGGCUCACUGGACCGGCAUUGACGCUGAGGUACGAAAGCGUGGGGAGCAAACAGG